rnacentral:rRNA from 1 species
GCACAAGCGGUGGAUGAUGUGGUUUAAUUCGAUGCAACGCGAAAAACCUUACCCACCUUUGACAUGUACGGAAUCCUUUAGAGAUAGAGGAGUGCUCGAAAGAGAGCCGUAACACAGGUGCCGCAUGGCUGUCGUCAGCUCGUGUCGUGAGAUGUUGGGUUAAGUCCCGCAACGAGCGCAACCCUUGUCAUUAGUUGCUACGAAAGGGCACUCUAAUGAGACUGCCGGUGACAAACCGGAGGAAGGUGGGGAUGACGUCAAGUCCUCAUGGCCCUUAUAGGUGGGGCUACACACGUCAUACAAUGGCUGGUACAAAGGGUUGCCAACCCGCGAGGGGGAGCUAAACCCAUAAAGCCAGUCGUAGUCCGGAUCGCAGUCUGCAACUCGACUGCGUGAAGUCGGAAUCGCUAGUAAUCGUGGAUCAGAAUGUCACGGUGAAUACGUUCCCGGGCCUUGUACACACCG